rnacentral:rRNA from 1 species
UAGGGAAUCUUCCGCAAUGGGCGAAAGCCUGACGGAGCAACGCCGCGUGAGUGAUGAAGGUCUUCGGAUCGUAAAACUCUGUUAUUAGGGAAGAACAAAUGUGUAAGUAACUAUGCACGUCUUGACGGUACCUAAUCAGAAAGCCACGGCUAACUACGUGCCAGCAGCCGCGGUAAUACGUAGGUGGCAAGCGUUAUCCGGAAUUAUUGGGCGUAAAGCGCGUGUAAGCGGUUUUUUAAGUCUGAUGUGAAAGCCCACGGCUCAACCGUAGAAAGUCAUUGCAAACUGGAAAACUUGAGUGGAGGAGAGGAAAGUUGAAUUCCAUGUCUCGCAAUGGAAUGCGCAGAGAUAUGGAAGAACACCAGUGGCGAAUGCGACUUUCUGGUCUGUAACUGACGCUGAUGUGCGAAAGCGUGGCGAUCAAACAGG